AGCGAACGCUGGCGGCAGGCCUAACACAUGCAAGUCGAACGAACCUUUCGGGGUUAGUGGCGGACGGGUGAGUAACACGUGGGAACGUGCCUUUAAGUUCGGAAUAACUCAGGGAAACUUGUGCUAAUACCGAAUGUGCCCUUCGGGGGAAAGAUUUAUCGCCUUUAGAGCGGCCCGCGUCUGAUUAGCUAGUUGGUUGAGGUAAUGGCUCACCAAGGCGACGAUCAGUAGCUGGUCUGAGAGGAUGAUCAGCCACAUUGGGACUGAGACACGGCCCAAACUCCUACGGGAGGCAGCAGUGGGGAAUCUUGCGCAAUGGGCGAAAGCCUGACGCAGCCAUGCCGCGUGAAUGAUGAAGGUCUUAGGAUUGUAAAAUUCUUUCACCAGGGACGAUAAUGACGGUACCCGGAGAAGAAGCCCCGGCUAACUUCGUG
rnacentral:rRNA from 1 species